rnacentral:rRNA from 1 species
CCUACGGGGGGCAGCAGUGGGGGAUAUUGGACAAUGGGGGGAACCCUGAUCCAGCGACGCCGCGUGAGUGAAGAAGUAUCUCGGUAUGUAAAGCUCUAUCAGCAGGGAAGAAGAAAUGACGGUACCUGAGUAAGAAGCCCCGGCUAACUACGUGCCAGCAGCCGCGGUAAUACGUAGGGGGCAAGCGUUAUCCGGAAUUACUGGGUGUAAAGGGAGCGUAGACGGUGAUGUAAGUCUGGAGUGAAAGGUGGGGGCCCAACCCCCGGACUGCUCUGGAAACUAUGUGACUGGAGUGCAGGAGAGGUGAGCGGAAUUCCUAGUGUAGCGGUGAAAUGCGUAGAUAUUAGGAGGAACACCAGUGGCGAAGGCGGCUUACUGGACUGUAACUGACGUUGAGGCUCGAAAGCGUGGGGAGCAAACAGGAUUAGAUACCCUUGUAGUC